UACGUAGGUGGCAAGCGUUAUCCGGAUUUAUUGGGCGUAAAGGGUGCGCAGGCGGUCUGUUUAGUCUGAGGUGAAAGCGUUGAGCUCAACUCAAUUAAGCCUUAGAUACUGGCAGACUAGAGUGCGGAAGAGGGUUAUGGAAUUCCAUGUGUAGCGGUAAAAUGCGUAGAUAUAUGGAGGAACACCGGCGGCGAAGGCGGUAACCUGGUCCGUAACUGACGCUCAGGCACGAAAGCGUGGGGAGCAAAUA
rnacentral:rRNA from 1 species